AUUACCAUCUUUUCUUCUCUCUUCACUCAAUCCACUGAAAUUCUAGAUGAAGGGCCUUUACUGUCGUCCUCCUCCGCCACCGCAGCCAACGAGAUAGAGUUUCGACGGUUGCUAAAUAUUUAAAUAAGUGUUGGUAAAUUAGCAGCACUCUUUUAGGUUAUAGCGACACUCUUUAACUGUCACUAUAUACCUAGCGACCCCACAUAUAGCAACACUUUUUAAAAGUGUCGGUAAUUUUAGCUAGCAGCACUUUUUUAACAUGUACCUACAUUUAAAAGUGUCGCUAUAGACCGUUUUUGUUGUAGUGUAGAGAGAGAAGAAGGAGGAGAAGAAGAAGAAGGAGUUGGAGGAGAGCUAGCUUAGAGG
rnacentral:lncRNA from 1 species